ACUCCUACGGGAGGCAGCAGUGGGGAAUAUUGCACAAUGGGCGAAAGCCUGAUGCAGCGACGCCGCGUGAGGGAAGAAGGUCUUCGGAUUGUAAACCUCUGUCUUUGGGGACGAACAAAUGACGGUACCCGAGGAGGAAGCCACGGCUAACUACGUGCCAGCAGCCGCGGUAAU
rnacentral:rRNA from 1 species